GUUUUUCAAUUAUUAUUUUUUUAAGUGAGUUUGAGAGGGAAAACCUGAAAACUGGGGGAAAUCACAGUGCUUCUCCCCCGUUAGAAUUUUAUUUUGCAGUGUCAUCGUUUUGGUAUCAAGAAUGUUUUUUUCAAAAUCUGCCCUCUAGAGGAUUUAGCAGAAAAUAACACAUGGCACUUUGCAAUCUGCAAUAAAUAAACUUUGCACUUUAUUUUCAGUCUCUUUUCUUUGCUAUCCAAAUCAAUGUAAGAACACAAGGGAAUGCUAAUUUAAAAGAUGGCUUGUCAUUAUUAGCCUGGUUCUGUAUGGAAUACAGGCACAUUAUGGGACACAGGUCAGGUCAUUAUACAUUUCUGUAUAAAAGAAAUUGUUGCAACCAAAUCAUGUGCUGGUGCACCAACCGAAAACGUUGGUUAGCACCAGGGCCACCAGCGGGAAAAGUUAGUGUAGAAGCCUGCAUCUAAAUGUUACAUCAAAUAUAUCCCUAAAAUAAAGUAAAGAUAAAUGGCUGGUGCGUUUAUUUAUUUUUUGGUUUUAUUGGUCAGGUAUGCCAACCUCACGUGUUGCAGUGUGAGUAAACUGGACUUAUCUGAGUGCUGACCUCUAUGCAUGAUAGGCUGAUGAGGUAUGUUAUGACUGGAGGUUGGUAUCGGGUUUUUUUUCACAUGUGCUUUGAUAGUUAUUGUGUAAAGAACAAGGCCUAUUUCUCUUUUAUCGGGAUACAAGGAUGGAAGACAUGUCAGCAACUCAACCCAAUCAAGGCCAGCUGUCACCCAGCAAAUACAAAUACACUGCAUAGCAAAAAAGGCACAUGACACAUGCAAUGUUAAUUUCUUCCCAUGAGAACAGACAGAGUGCUUAACUGAUUAACCUGUUGGGGGUAGGGGGCAGUAUUUACACGGCCGGAUAAAAAACGUACCCGAUUUAAUCUGGUUAUUACUACUGCCCAGAAACUAGAAUAUGCAUAUAAUUAUUGGCUUUGGAUAGAAAACACCCUAAAGUUUCUAAAACUGUUUGAAUGGUGUCUGUGAGUAUAACAGAACUCAUAUGGCAGGCAAAAACCUGAGAAGAUUCCUUACAGGAAGUGCCCUCUCUGACCAUUCCUUGAGCUUCUUGUCUCUGUUUAUUGAAGACUGAGGAUCUUUGCUGUAACGUGACACUUCCUACGGCUCCCAUAGGCUCUCAGAGCCCGGGAAAAAGCUGAAUGAUAUCGAGGCAACCCCAGGCUGAAACACAUUUGCGCUUUUGGCAAGUGGCCGAUCAGAGGACAAUGGGCUUAGGCGCGUGCACGAGUCGACCCCAUGCUUUAUUUUCUUUCGUCUUUUUACCUAAACGCAGAUUCCCGGUCGGAAUAUUAUGGCUUUUUUACGAGAAAAAUGGCAUAAAAAUUGAUUUUAAACAGCGGUUGACAUGCUUCGAAGUACGGUAAUGGAAUAUUUAGAAUUUUUUUGUCACGAAAUGCGUCGUGCUCGUGACCCUUCUUUACCAUUCGGAUAGUGUCUUGAAUGCACGAACAAAAUGCCGCUAUUUGGAUAUAACUAUGGAUUAUUUUGAACCAAACCAACAUUUGUUAUUGAAGUAGAAGUCCUGGGAGUGCAUUCUGACGAAGAACACCAAAGGUAAUAACAUUUUUCUUAUAGUAAAUCGGACUUUGGUGAGUGCUAAACUUGCUGGGUGUCUAAAUAGCUAGCCCUGUGAUGCCGGGCUAUCUACUGAGAAUAUUGCAAAAUGUGCUUUCACCGAAAAGCUAUUUUAAAAUCGGACAUAUCGAGUGCAUAGAGGAGUUCUGUAUCUAUAAUUCUUAAAAUAAUUGUUAUGUUUUUUGUGAACGUUUAUCGUGAGUAAUUUAGUAAAUUCACCAGCAGUGUUCGGUGGGAAUGCUAGUCACAUGCUAAUGUAAAAAGCUGGUUUUUGAUAUAAAUAUGAACUUGAUUGAACAGAGCAUGCAUGUAUUGUAUAACAUAAUGUCCUAGGGUUGUCAUCUGAUGAAGAUCAUCAAAGGUUAGUGUUGCAUUUAGCUGUGGUUUGGGUUUAUGUGACAUUAUAUGCUAGCUUGAAAAAUGGGUGUCUGAUUAUUUCUGGCUGGGUACUCUGCUGACAUAAUCUAAUGUUUUGCUUUCGUUGUAAAGCCUUUUUGAAAUCGGACAGUGUGGUUAGAUUACCGAGAGUCUUGUCUUUAAAAUGGUGUAAAAUAGUCAUAUGUUUGAGAAAUUGAAGUAAUAGCAUUUCUAAGGUAUUUGAAUAACGCGCCACAGGAUUCCACUGGCUGUUACGUAGGUGUGACGAUUUCGUCCCGCCGACCCUAGAGAGGUUAAUCCUAUUUUCAGACUGGAAUAAAGCUGGGGUCCUACCUGGUGUCAAACAUUAAGCCCUCAUGGAUAUUAGGGCUUUCUGCUUCAGGUGAGCUAUUCAUAAUUAAAGGUCCAAUAAAAUAGCAGGGUAGAGGUGGUAUUGUUAUUGAUGUUGCUGUAUUUAUGAUAUGAUAACUAACGACAAUUUAUUUUCCUGUAGAUUAAGGAAGAACAGCUCUGAGAUCCCCAAACAAGAGAUGACUAUCUGGCUGUAAAGACUUGAAGAUAGGCCUUAUUUGGAGCUCUAUACCGCCUUUACCCAAAGUUAUUUUAUAGCAUAUGAAAUUUAUAUUUUGGUCAAUAAAUCAUCUUGAUUACUUUGAUUUGUACAAUUUGAGCUAUGGAGGUGCAUAAGAGUUAUAAAGUGAGUGAUUAGUAUUUAUAACUAAUAAAAGAUGAAAACAACAAAUUCUAAAAUGUCUAGAAACGUCUUAAGACGGAUGUCUCAAGACAUUGGUAUUUCUAUGGGCUGUCUUAAAGACGUCUUCAUUUUCUAAGACAGGUCUCUAUAUGCCUCAAGACAUCUUAAUUUAUAUGUCUUAAGAAGUCACAGGGAAUAUCAGGGGAAUCUCCAAAUCAACCUGGUCCCAGAGCAUUUCAUAUUAUUCUGUACGUAAAUCCGAGACACACCAUUUAUUAUGAUAUGUUAUGCUUCGUAUGGUAUGUAUUCAUUUGUCGGUGUCUAUCACUCAUUUCGUAUGAUAGGUUACAAAUUACAAUUAAUUUAUAUUUGCAAAACAUACAAUACGUUCCGAAUUAGCAAAACGUAUAUUUUAUGAAUUCUAGCUAGGUGGCCAACGUUAGCUAGCUGGCUAACGUUAACUAGGCUAUGGGUUAGGUUUAGGGGAAGGGUUAGCUAACAUAGCAAAAAAAUAGUAAGACGUUGAAAAGUUGCUCAUUAGCUGAAGUUGUCCUUGACGAGAUUUGAACUCACAACCUUUGGGUUGCUAGACAUUCGCGUUAUACACCCGACCAGCCAAACUACUUUCAUUUUUGCCUUAAGUAACCAUCGGUCUUAUGUACCCAUACCAAACAUCACAUAUACUACUGUUCAGGAUUUACAUUUAAUAUGUUACGUCUAGCCUAUGAGACCAGGCUUUCCCAAAAGAAAGUGAAAGUUGAACUAUACUCAACUGAAAGAGAUAAAGGGCUCACUCAGCCAUAUAAAUGUGUAGAGGCAGCGUACCACCAUUCAACUUCAAAGAAGACUAAGUAGAAGAAUAAGCUAUAUCAGACAGAUUCUUACAUUUACAAAAUGGGCGGAAUCUACAGUUAUUUCUACCCAGAGUCUUCAGGGGAAAUCACAGUUGUCGCUCAGACAGAGACCUAUCAGGACACAGACAGGUCACGAGAGCAACAAGGUGAUAAGAAUAACACCGGGAAUUUCCUGGGGGAAUCACCAAGUGCCUUAGGUGCCAAUGACAACAUUGAGGAUGUGGACAAGUUCAAUGUCCUUGUGAGGUGUGCGGGAAAGACCUUGGACAUAGACGUGUUCCCUCUGGAGAGAAUAGCAGUUCUGUUGGAAAAUGUAUGUCAACAGGCAGGAAAGAAACGCAGCACAAUGAAGCUUGUUUACAACGGGGAAAUGCUGGACGAGAGCAAAACAGUGAAACACUAUAAACUACGAAGAGGAAACUCAGUCAACCUCAUUCAUGCCUAAGUCAAUGUGUUACUUAUUCUUACUGUAUGUGUCAUCAUAGCUGCAUAAAGCAGAAUAUAAUAUCAAUUGGUAUCUGUGUCUCAAAACUGAGUAAGGCUAUAAGAUGCACUACACAUAAAUUGUAUUACAUAGUAUCAUCACCUACGAUUUUAUAAGCUAAUCUUUGAGUGCUGGUGCCCUUGCAUUACAUUGUAAAAACCUAUUGAGGCCCUAGCAUUACAUUGUAAAAACCCAUUGAGGCCCUAGCAUUACAUUUUACCAUUAGACCUACCUGCAAUUUUGUCCUGUCUAUUUGCUUUUAACAAUAAAACUGAUAUUUAUCCAGACUUGUGAUAAUUGUAGGCUACUUAUUCUACAAGAUCACAAUGAAUAUUCAAUUCGUAUAAUGUUAAGAAGCUAAAACUAAUGCAAGAAAUCAUCAGGAUACAACAGCAAACUAGAUUAUAAUAAAAUAUUGAGCUAACGUUAAUAUGCCUACAUGGUUCCCUGACAAAAAGGUGUAGUCCUAGACCAGGCUUCAAAUGACCGCCAACACAUGUGCAGCGAAACGGUGAAAUUUAGCCUACUUCAUAAUAAGCCAAUUUACAUCCAAGACCUAGAAGGCCAAAUUAUAUUAUUUCUUACUUCAAAUAACUUACAAGUUGCGUGAACAUCAUCGUGGUUCAUGAACUCACGUGUUUACUGAGACAUAAAAUGGCAAGCGAAAAAAAAUGUGGGUCCUAUAGGUCAUUUAUAGUGCGUCAUAAACUUAAUUUUAUUUUACCAAAAUACAUUACACACUAAUGCAAUUGUGCUAUAGAAUUGUUUGUUUCUAGUUCAAAAUGA
rnacentral:lncRNA from 1 species